rnacentral:misc_RNA from 1 species
GAUGAAGAACGUAGCGAAAUGCGAUAAGUAAUGUGAAUUGCAGAAUUCAGUGAAUCAUCGAAUCUUUGAACGCACAUUGCGCCCGCCAGUAUUCUGGCGAGCAUGCCUGUUCGAGCGUCAUUUCAACCAUCAAGCCCCAGGCUUGUGUUGGAGCCCUGCGGCUGCCGCAGCCUCCCAAAACCAGUGGCGGGCUCGCUAUCACACCGAGUGCAGUAGUUUACUCUUCGCUCAGGGCGUGUGGCGGGUGCUAGCCGUGAAACCCCCACCUUCUCAAGGUUGACCUCGGAUCAGGUAGGAAUACCCGCUGAACUUAAGCAUAUCAAUAAGCGGAGGA